AUCCUGAUAUGUUUGUUGAAACUUAAUCAGUUUUGACCGAACAUAAUAUCGUUGGGAGUUGUCAUUUUGGAAUGGCAAACAUGCCUGUAAUGGGACUUUUAAAGUUUCAAAUACGACACCCACCUGCAAAGAGUGCGGGUUCAAAGCGAUUUGUAAAAACAACGGCAUAAUUGGGAU
rnacentral:other from 1 species